rnacentral:lncRNA from 1 species
ACAAGAAGAUCAAACAACUAAAGGCGAGCAUGAGGCUGAUUAUCAAUACAUUAUUCAAAAAGCAAAAUUCACUGCCAACUAUUUAAACAAACAGAGGAAACACCACAGGCUCCUGCCACCGGAAAACCUGGAUUCAAGAACACCAAAAUGCAAAAGAUUGACACACAGUCAACAAAUCGGGAGGUCUGCAGCACGAGUGUCGAUCACGGGGGCUGAGAGAGAGAAUCAGCGCAUCUGUGUCUUCUUAUAUCCGCUCCCACUCAUCACACCAAGCAGGUUCACCUGAGACACCUGGGGAGGAACCUACCAGAGAGAGACACACAGCAGAAGACACAGGACACAGGACACACCCACACCCACAGCCCUAACAUAAAAUAUGACAUUUUCAACAUCCUAUAUUAUGGCAUUUUGAUCGGACAAUACUAUGGCAUGUUUUUUCAUCCUAAAAUCAGGAAUUCUUUUUCACCAUAAGAUCUGAAAUUUUGAUCCUAGGACAUUAUGACAUUUUUUCGGACUCAAAUAAUCUUUUUUUCCUACUAAAAUAUGACAUUUUUAACAUCCUAAACUAUGGCAUUUUGUUCAGAGAAUACUAUGGCAUGUUUUUUAAUCCAAAAAUAAAAAAAAAAUUUCACCUAAAAUCUGAAAUUUUGGUCAUAGUGUACUAUGACGAUUUUUUUCAGACUCAAACAUUAUUUUUUUUAUUCCUACUAAAAUAUGACAUUUUCAACAUCAUAAACUACGGCAUUUUGAGCAGAUUACACUAUAGCAUGUUUUUUCAUUCUAAAAUCUGAAAAAAAAUUUUCACCCUAAAAUCUGAAAUUUUGGUCAUAGUAUAUACGAUGACGAUUUUUUUUUACGGACUCAAAUAAGAUUUUUUUUCUUCUUGCUAAAAUAUGACAUUUUUAACAUCCUAAACUAUGGCAUUUUGUUUGGACAAUAGAAUGGCAGGCUUUUACAUCCUAAAAUCUGAAAAAAAAAUUUCACCUAAAAUCUGAAAUUUUUGGUCAUAGUAUACUAUGACGAUUUUUUUCAGACUCAAACAUUAUUUUUUUUAUUCCUACUAAAAUAUUACACUUUUAACAUUCUAAACUAUGGCAUUUUGGUCAGACAAUACUAUGGCAUGUUUUUUCAUCCUGAUAUCUGAAAAAAAAAUUUCACCCUAAAAUCUGAAAUUUUGGUCAUAGUAUACUAUGACGUUUUUUUUUCCGACUGAAAUAUAAUUUUUUUUAAUUUCUACUAAAAUAUGACAUUUUUAACAUUCUUUACAAUGGCAUUUUGUUCAGACACUACUUUGACAUGUUUUUUCAUUAGCAUCUGAAAAAAAAAAAUUCACCCUAAAAUCUGAAAUUUUGGUCACAGUAUACUAUGAUGAUUUUUUUUACGGACUCAAAUAAGAUUUUUUUUCUUCCUGCUAAAAUAUGACAUUUUUAACAUCCUAUACUAUGGCAUUUUGUUUGGACAAUAUCAUGGCAGGCUUUUACACCCUAAAAUCUGAAAAUAAAAUUUCACCCUAAAAUCUGAAAUUUUGGUCAUAGUAUACUAUGACGUUUUUUUUUCUGACCCAAAUAUAAUUUUUUUUUUUUGGAACUAAAA